AUUGAACGCUGGCGGAAUGCUUUACACAUGCAAGUCGAACGGCAGCACGGACUUCGGUCUGGUGGCGAGUGGCGAACGGGUGAGUAAUGUAUCGGAACGUGCCCAGUCGUGGGGGAUAACGUAGUGAAUAUUACGCUAAUAACGCAUACGAUCUAUGGAUGAAAGCGGGGGAUCGCAAGACCUCGCGCGAUUGGAGCGGCCGAUAUCAGAUUAGGUAGUUGGGGGGGUAAAGGCCCACCAAGCCAACGAUCGGUAGAUGGUUCUGAGAGGACGACCAGCCACACUGUAACUGAGACACGGUCCAGACUCCUACGGGAGGCAGCAGUGGGGAAUUUUGGACAAUGGGCGAAAGCCUGAUCCAGCCAUUCCGCGUGCAGGAUGAAGGCCCUCGGGUUGUAAACUGCUUUUGUACAGAACGAAAAGGUUUCUACUAAUACUAGGAGCUCAUGACGGUACUGUAAGAAUAAGCACCGGCUAACUACGUGCCAGCAGCCGCGGUAA
rnacentral:rRNA from 1 species